UACGAAGGGGGGCUAGCGUUGCUCGGAAUGACUGGGCGUAAAGGGCGCGUAGGCGGAUGGCACAGUCAGAUGUGAAAUUCCCGGGCUUAACCUGGGGGGCUGCAUUUGAUACGUGUGAUCUAGAGUGAGGAAGAGGGUCGUGGAAUUCCCAGUGUAGAGGUGAAAUUCGUAGAUAUUGGGAAGAACACCGGUGGCGAAGGCGGCGACCUGGUCCUUGACUGACGCUGAGGUGCGAAAGCGUGGGGAGCAAACAGG
rnacentral:rRNA from 1 species